AAAAGGGAGGCUGACUACAGAAAGCAGGAGUUUGAAAUUAGGGAGGUAAUUUACAUUCUAUGCAGGUCACGAGAAAUUUCUGUUGGAACUCUGGCAAUGAAAAUAACAACCACAAAAGUAACCAAGAAUGCAGGUACCCUCCCCACUGCACAGUCAUGGAGACAAUGUCGGUCCUGCAGAGAGAAUGAAGCUACCAAAGAGAACACAGAUACAGAACACAGAUGCUCAAGUUAAGCCAAGCCACAGCAUUCCCCCGUCCUUUUCAUUAAAAAAUUAAACAGCCAUCCGGGAAGAUGCCAAGCAAAUUGGUGAGAGGCCAAGACUUCAGUAGAAAUCAGCUGAUAGAAAUUCUGUACUAAAAGACUUUUCUUUGAGAAAGUUAAACACUGUCUGGGAUGAGCACUAAGUGCCCUGAAAUAGCGGGACUCGUAGUUGGACAAGAAAAACAGAUCACCUAGUAGGGGGUCUAAAAAGAACGUAGAUUAUUCUCUCAGCCACUGUGUAGGCUUAUAAUCAAUUCUUUAGAGAGAAAGAACAGGAAACCCAUAGCAGACUCACUCUAAAAUCUUUACUGUAAACAUCUCAUUAUAGUAUGACCUCAGUCAUUCUUCUAAAAAAAAAAACACAUCCUUUUGUCUUUAUAAAGUCUUAAGUGAACUAGGCUUUGUGCUAGACGUUGGAGACACGUGGUGAACAAGACAGAGCAGCGCCCGUGGAGUUCACGAUCUACUAGAAGAGACGGACAUUAAACAAGUAAUCACACACAUGUCAUUGUAAGCUUUGAUGGUGCUCAGAAUAGGAAGUAGUCAGCGAAGAUAAUAUCAGGGGCUUUUAGAUUUGGGGGUCAGAGACAACUUUUAGAGAGAGUGCUCGUAAUGCCAUUCCCUGAAAAAUAAUGGAGCAUUAAUUAGCCAGGGAAAGAACUGCAGUAGUUCACGCCAGGGAAUUCCACUGGAAGGCUCUGGAGUGGGAAAUGUGGGGGGUGGUCCAGGAAGUGGGAGAAGGCCUGUGCUGUGAGCAUCAGCAGUGGGAUGAAAAGCCUGUGGGGGGUGAGGCCAGACCCCCAGACCGUGUGGCUGCAUUAGCAUCUUGUUUUCUCCCAAAACAGGUCAAGUCACUGAAGGCUUUUAGGCAUAUACAACUGACAUGUUCAGAUUUGUGUUUUUAAUCCAUCAUUCCAAUUGCAGUAUUGAAAAUGAGUUUGAGGGACCACAAUAGAAAAAAGAAGUCCAUGUGCGAAGCUUGCAACCUGGCCAUGAGAGUCAAGGUUAUGGUGAGCACAACCAAAUAUGAAGACCCCUUUGCUACAGCAGGUCCUUAAGACCUCCUAUCUUCCUGGGUGCUCCAUGCUACAGAGUGGCACCCAAACCAUAGGAGAAAUAACUGAGGUUCCUCAAGCAGUAAAACUUGUAUUUGCAUUAAAUUUAGUUGAAUCAAAGCCAGGGAAAGAACUGCAGUAGUUCACGCCAGGGAAUUCCACUGGAAGUGUCGAAAAUAACUUUAGCCAUAUGGAAGGCUGUGAAAGAAUGGAUUUGACACAGUGAAAUAAGUAGCUGGAAUGUCAGACUGAGACUGUGAAACGAUUAGUUUCGCUGAUGUGCGAGGGUUUGAAGAAGCCACCGGAAUUCGGGGCAGUUGAGCAAGAGAGGAAUUAAGCAGAUGAAAAUCAAAUUAUCAUACUGAAUUUAUUAAAAGCAAAGUUGAAGCA